UUAAACGGCCGCGGUAUCCUAACCGUGCAAAGGUAGCGUAANCACUUGUNUCCUAAAUAGAGACCUGUAUGAAUGGCUAAAUGAGGUCCAACCUGUCUCCUUUAAUUAAUCAGUGAAACUGAUCUACCAGUACAAAAGCUGGUAUACUAUCAUUAGACGAGAAGACCCUGUGGAGCUUUAAAUCUAAAGCCAACACCUAAAACCAAAAACACAUAGCCAUGGCCCAAGAUUUUAAGUUGGGGCGACUUCGGAACAAAACAAAACUCCCGAGCAUAAGGAAAUUAACCUUACCAAGACCAACAAGUCAAAACAAAAAUUGACCCAGUACAACUGAUCACCGAACCAAGUUACCCCAGGGAUAACAGCGCAAUCUUCUUCAAGAGUUCUUAUCGACAAGAAGGUUUACGACCUCGAUGUUGGAUCAGGACACCCAAAUGGUGCAGCCGCUAUUAAA
rnacentral:rRNA from 1 species